rnacentral:rRNA from 1 species
GAGUUUGAUCCUGGUUCAGGACGAACGCUGGCGGCGUGCCUAACACAUGCAAGUCGAGCGAUGAAACCCUUCGGGGUGAAUUAGCGGCGGACGGGUGAGUAACACGUGGGUAACCUGCCUCAAAGAGGGGAAUAGCCUCCCGAAAGGGAGAUUAAUACCGCAUAAUAUGUUUUGAUCGCAUGAUCGAAACAUCAAAGGAUUUUCUUCGGAACUUCCACUUUGAGAUGGACCCGCGGCGCAUUAGCUAGUUGGUGAGGUAACGGCCCACCAAGGCAACGAUGCGUAGCCGACCUGAGAGGGUGAUCGGCCACAUUGGAACUGAGACACGGUCCAGACUCCUACGGGAGGCAGCAGUGGGGAAUAUUGCGCAAUGGGGGAAACCCUGACGCAGCAACGCCGCGUGAAUGAUGAAGGCCUUCGGGUUGUAAAGUUCUGUCUUCUGGGACGAUAAUGACGGUACCAGAGGAGGAAGCCACGGCUAACUACGUGCCAGCAGCCGCGGUAAUACGUAGGUGGCAAGCGUUGUCCGGAUUUACUGGGCGUAAAGGAUGCGUAGGCGGACAUUUAAGUCAGAUGUGAAAUACCCGAGCUUAACUUGGGUGCUGCAUUUGAAACUGGGUGUCUAGAGUGCAGGAGAGGUAAGUGGAAUUCCUAGUGUAGCGGUGAAAUGCGUAGAGAUUAGGAAG